GGUUCCAUAGUGUAGUGGUUAGCACUUAUGCUUUGCAUGCAGAAGGUCCUGGGUUUGCAAUCCCAUGGAGCCA
rnacentral:tRNA from 1 species